rnacentral:rRNA from 1 species
AAAAGGCUUAGUGGCGGACGGGUGAGUAACGCGUGGGUAACCUGCCUUACACAGGGGGAUAACACCUGGAAACAGGUGCUAAUACCGCAUAAGCGCACAGGGCCGCAUGGCCCGGUGUGAAAAACUCCGGUGGUGUAAGAUGGACCCGCGUCUGAUUAGCUUGUUGGCGGGGUAGAGGCCCACCAAGGCGACGAUCAGUAGCCGGCCUGAGAGGGUGGACGGCCACAUUGGGACUGAGACACGGCCCAAACUCCUACGGAAGGCAGCAG